rnacentral:misc_RNA from 1 species
AGCAGCCGCGGUAAUUCCAGCUCCAAUAGCGUAUAUUAAAGUUGUUGCAGUUAAAAGCUCGUAGUUGAAUUUCGGGGUUAGUAGGUUGGUCAUGCCUCUGGUAUGUACUGGUCUCACUGAUUCCUCCUUCCUGAUGAACCUUAAUGCCAUUAAUUUGGUGUUUUGGGGAAUUUGGACUGUUACUUUGAAAAAUUAGAGUGUUUAAAGCAAGCUAACGCUUGAAUACAUUAGCAUGGAAUAAUGAAAUAGGACGUUCGAUCCUAUUUUGUUGGUUUCUAGGAUUGACGUAAUGAUUAAUAGGGAUAGUUGGGGGCAUUAGUAUUCAAUUGUCAGAGGUGAAAUUCUUGGAUUUAUUGAAGACUAACUACUGCGAAAGCAUUUGCCAAGGAUGUUUUCAUUAAUCAAGAACGAAAGUUAGGGAUCGAAGACGAUCAGAUACCGUCGUAGUCUUAACCAUAAACUAUGCCGACUAGGGAUCGGAUGAUGUUAAUUUUUAAUGACUCAUUCGGCGCCUUAAC